UAUGUGAUCGUCUCUCGCAUAUCAAUAAGCGGAGGAAAAGAAACUAACAAGGAUUCCCCUAGUACGGCGAGUGAAGCGGGAAGAGCUCAAAUUUGAAAUCUUAAAGGGUUUCCCUUUACGAAUUGUAGUUUAAAGAAGUGUUUUCUGUUGAGGUUUUGGUAAAAGUUCUUGGAAUAGGACAUCAUAGAGGGUGAGAAUCCCGUAUUUGACCUUUGCUUUCAACUUUGUGAUACACUUUCAAGGAGUCGGAUUGUUUGGGAAUGCAGUCCAAAAUGGGUGGUAAAUUUCAUCUAAAGCUAAAUAUUGGCGAGAGACCGAUAGCGAACAAGUACCGUGAGGGAAAGAUGAAAGGAACUUUGAAAAGAGAGUUAAACAGUACGUGAAAUUGUCAAAAGGGAAGCGUUUGACACCAGUGUUGUUUUUCUGAAAAUCAAUUAAAGAACUGUUUAUGCUAAGUUGUUUAGACUUUAUCAGCUAUCUGCUUAGUUUUGAGCUUUUCUUUAAUGCACUUUUCAGUUAACAAGUCAACAUCAAUUUCUUUUGCUGUAAAAAAGCUUGAGGAAGGUGGCUUGAGAUUCGUCUUAAGUGUUUAUAGCCUCUUGCCUAUGCAGUCGGAGAGAUUGAGGUCUGCAGCGUAGAUCCUUCGGGGCUAAAUGCAUUUGUGCUAAGUUAUAGCAUUUUAUAGACAACUUGUUGACUAUGAUUUGUCUUGUAGCUUACUCGCUUAUGUUAUUUUACCUACGCUUAGGAUGUUGACGAGACUGUCGAUCUC
rnacentral:rRNA from 1 species